AGCUUUGUGCAAUGGAAGUAUGGUAGCUAAUGAGGUUUGCCCAAGGCACAGUUAAUUAUUGCUAAUUGAAAACUUUUCCCAAUUCUCCUCCAUGACAACUUGAAAUACAGUCUGCAUUGGUGAGUUUUGACUGUUAGGAGACUGA
ensembl:snRNA U4 U4 spliceosomal RNA